GUAGAGUGGAGGGGAAAAUUCGCUAAGGUGGGGCUAUUGGUUCACUCCUUAAUCACGGGUCCUACUGUAGCUGCAUGUUUCAGAAGAAGGCGAUUUUCUGCUGGACACAUUAUUUACCCAGCCAAGGAAUAAACAGUGGUAGCAACUCUUAGAUCAUUUUCUCCUUUUGUUGUACAGAAUCCCAGCCCCUGGAAUUGGAACCACCCAGAGUCGGUGAAUCUUCCUAAUUCAGGUGACCUAAUCAAGAUAAUCUCUCUCAUAGGCAUCCUCAGAGGCCUGUUUCCCAAGUGAUUGUAGAUCUCGCCAAGUUGACAUUUGAGAUUAACCACCACACCCUGUCUCAAAAAUUAUAAAGAAUAACCGUAAUGGACACCUAUUUGGCGAUGAGCUGCAUCCUACCCAUCAGGCUUACAGAAUUUGAACAUGCUGGAAUGGGAAUGGACUCCACGACAUUCCAUAGAACCAAGAAACCUGUGCAGAACAACUGGCCCGCCACCUGAACUUAAGGAACAGUCAUACCCAGUGGUUACAGGAAUGUCAAAUCCAUGGCCCGCGCAGGAGAGAACCUUAACUAAUGCAGGCAGUGUGGUCAGACUCUUAAGUUCCUGCUCUUCACUCAAUACAAUCCUUCUAGGAGGCAGUUUGAAAAGGAAGCACCAAUACCAAGGAAAUAAACCCUGCAUGAAGAAAGUCAGCCGGCAAUCGGCCACAGCUUAAACCCAGCCCCUCAGGCAGUGGAGAAGCUGGGGGAGCAGGAAGUUCUGAGCUUCCAGAAGCUUCACAGUUUCAGUAACUCCCCAUUAGGAAGCACCGGCAGCAACGUGGGCCUGGCUGAGGAAUCUGGCAGUGGGAAGGUAGCCCUGAAGUGUUUCUAGGAUUAUCAGGAAAAGCACUCCAAAGAAUGGCUGCACAGUUUUAUGUGCAUAUCACCAAGAUGAAUGGAAAAUAAGAAAUAAAAGAAAAGGGUCUGACUGCU
rnacentral:lncRNA from 1 species